rnacentral:piRNA from 1 species
UGGCAUUAGCAGUUCCUUUCUGAAGCUGU